rnacentral:sRNA from 1 species
CGGAGGGAUAUUACCGAGUUAUCAACUCAUCAACCCUGUGAACAUACCUAAACGUUGCUUCGGCGGGAACAGACGGCCCCGUAACACGGGCCGCCCCCGCCAGAGGACCCCCUAACUCUGUUUCUAUAAUGUUUCUUCUGAGUAAAACAAGCAAAUAAAUUAAAACUUUCAACAACGGAUCUCUUGGCUCUGGCAUCGAUGAAGAACGCAGCGAAAUGCGAUAAGUAAUGUGAAUUGCAGAAUUCAGUGAAUCAUCGAAUCUUUGAACGCACAUUGCGCCCGCCAGUAUUCUGGCGGGCAUGCCUGUUCGAGCGUCAUUACAACCCUCAGGCCCCCGGGCCUGGCGUUGGGGAUCGGCGGAGCCCCCUGCGGGCACACGCCGUCCCCCAAAUACAGUGGCGGUCCCGCCGCAGCUUCCAUUGCGUAGUAGCUAACACCUCGCAACUGGAGAGCGGCGCGGCCACGCCGUAAAACCCCCAACUUCUGAACGUUGACCUCGAAUCAGGUAGGAAUACCCGCUGAACUUAAGCAUAUAA